AAUUUUAGACAAAACACUAUUAAAAAAGAAGCAAAAUAUCAUUUAAUUUGUAUAUGUGAUUUUCUUAAUGCUGUAUACAGAUUACUACGGGUACACGCGCAAAGAGCAUGCCUACCUACAGUUGUAUCUGAAAGAUCGAUCAAUCAUAAAAUUUAUUUUCGUUUCAACUUCUCAUUUGUAUGGUGUGCAUCUAACAGCACUAGCAUAUCAUCAAACUUCUUUACAGCCUUGCAUGUUUCUUACCGCUUUGUUUUAUCAAGCACUUCGAUAUAUUUUUUUGGGACACCAUACUGUUCAACAAGGUAUCUUGCAAGAUCAUCAAUAACUCCUCCUUGAACCAAAACUUCUUCACCUUUCUUACCUGGAAGUUCUGCCACAGUAGUGCUACAGGCACACUUCUUCUGCAACUCUGAAGCCAGAGUCUCUGCAUCCAACAGAAAUGACUCCAUUCCAGAAAGUUUAGUCACUUUCUUGUUCCCUUGCCUCCGCUCUGUCAUUAUCUGGAUUGGCUUCAAGGCUCCUUUGCGAACAACUGUAUCGUUUCCUCUAGUCACACAAUGAUGUGCUUGCAUCCUACCAAUAAAUGUUUGCCCCAAAUCCUUCUUAUGAAUUUCAGUUGGAUAAGUUGAUCCCUUUUUUAUGGCUCCCUUAAAUAAAGCAUCACAUAGAGUUGCAUCUAACGUCACAGUGGACUUAUUCGAUGGCUUGACAAGAUUUUCUUUCUCAACAUACUGGAACACUAUUCCAGAGGUUUCAGAUGCAGUGUAAAGUCUGCUAGUUUCAGCACCAACAGAAGCGAAAAUGGGAUUUACAUGCACACUUGGUUUAUAAAUCUCAGAAACUUCCAGUGACUUCUGUACCCGUUCUUCAGAAGAAACAUUAUUUGUUGAAGGCCCGGUCUUGUCCACUUUUUUCUUUUCUGGCUUGUAGGACAUGUAGUCUGGAUGAUUUCUAUUAACAUAGAACAGAAUCACCUCUUUCUUAUGUUUAUCUUCUUUCACUGAGAUCAAUCCACCAGAGGCUUUAGCCUGUAGCCACUUGGACAAUUUCUUGUGAGAUGACUUCUUUAUGUCGAGUGUUAUGCCUGGAGGCCUGCAAGGUAGCACGUGACUUGACCAAAAUGUACUUCCAGGGAUGGGCAGGUCUUUCUCUUUAAUUGUCGUAUGUAAUGCUUGUAGAAGGCACUUGUCCAGGAGUGCAUCUACCUCUUCAACACACAAGGAAUGUUGUCCCUCGGUAUUUGAUUCAUCUGCAUAAGUUUCUGCAACCUUCAACUCACUUAGAUCACUAGUAAGCUGCAAAGUAAUUUCAUCUGCUCCGUCAUUCUGUGUAGUAGAAGGCUGACCAACACUUGAUGAAGCUGUAUCAGCAUCAAUCGCUUCUCUCAUGUCUUCAUUGCUAAUCAUAUUUCCUGGGUCAACUGAAGGAUCAACUUCACUUGAAUCAGAUGCCCUACCACUCAAGGAAAGAGCAGGAUCUUCAAACACGACGUCUUCCAGAAAACCAGCAUUUGGUACAUGACAAUUUUCAGCAGAUUCCCAAAGGGUGUCUCGAUAGUAAUGACAUAUUUUUAAGGCCUUUCCACGUAGACCAGCUUUUAAAGCUUCUGUACUACUCAUGGUAGUUGUCCCCACAGCUAUUGCGGCAGGAUUUCCAGGAACCUUCACUGCCCAUGGCUCCCCAGAAGAAAAUGAGGGGAACCCUUCAGUAGGUAUACUGAUACCAGGGAACAUUAAAUCUGCCCCUCCGAGCAUAAAACGAGAAACUUCACCCCCUUUCAGCACAAAAGCAGGCAAAAGUUCUGGGACUCUCCACAGAGCAUAAACUGUAGGGAAAAUAUCACGACCUCGCCCAUCUACGUCAAAGAACAUGGGGCAUUCGCCCUCCAAUCCAUAAACAAGUACCCGAUUUGGAUAUUUCGAAACAGAUAACUCUGCUUUGGGAGGAAGUAUAACGUCGAGAAGAGCAUCAGAGGCAUUGGAGAAACGGUCUCUGAUAGUGCGACGGAGCUUUUUCCGGUCGGCGCCAGAAAGUCGCUGGUGAGACUUGGCGUCCACUGCCUUCUUGAACAUUUUUCUCCUGCUAUUAUGGCG
rnacentral:misc_RNA from 1 species